AUGGGGGGAACAUCCUCCAAGGCUAAAUACUCCUGACUGACCGAUAGUGAACCAGUACCGUGAGGGAAAGGCGAAAAGAACCCCUGUGAGGGGAGUGAAAUAGAACCUGAAACCGUGUGCGUACAAGCAGUAGGAGCAGACUUGUUCUGUGACUGCGUACCUUUUGUAUAAUGGGUCAGCGACUUAAUUUAUGUAGCGAGCUUAACCGAAUAGGGGAGGCGAAGGGAAACCGAGUCUUAAUAGGGCGACUAGUUGCAUGGAUUAGACCCGAAACCUGGCGAUCUAUCCAUGGCCAGGGUGAAGGUGGGGUAACACCUACUGGAGGCCCGAACCCACGUAUGUUGAAAAAUGCGGGGAUGAGCUGUGGAUCGGAGUGAAAGGCUAAUCAAGCCCGGAGAUAGCUGGUUCUCCCCGAAAGCUAUUUAGGUAGCGCCUCGGACGAAUACCACAGGGGGUAGAGCACUGUUUCGGCUAGGGGGUCAUCCCGACUUACCAACCCUUUGCAAACUCCGAAUACCUGUGAGUACUAUCCGGGAGACACACGGCGGGUGCUAACGUCCGUCGUGAAGAGGGAAACAACCCAGACCGCCAGCUAAGGUCCCCAAGUACCAGUUAAGUGGGAAACGAUGUGGGAAGGCUUAGACAGCUAGGAGGUUGGCUUAGAAGCAGCCACCCUUUAAAGAAAGCGUAAUAGCUCACUAGUCGAGUCGGCCUGCGCGGAAGAUGUACCGGGGCUUAAGUAAUAUACCGAAGCUAUGGAUACUCUUAGGAGUAUGGUAGAGGAGCGUUCUGUAAGCGGUUGAAGGGGUCCUGAGAGGGGUCCUGGACGUAUCAGAAGUGCGAAUGCUGACAUGAGUAACGAUAA
rnacentral:rRNA from 1 species